rnacentral:tRNA from 4 species
GACCCUGUCGUCUAGUGGCCAAGGACCUCUGGAUUUCCUCCAGAUGACAUAAGUUCAAAUCUUAUCGGGGUCGCCA